UACGUAGGGUGCGAGCGUUGUCCGGAAUUAUUGGGCGUAAAGAGCUUGUAGGCGGUUUGUCGCGUCUGCUGUGAAAAUCCGGGGCUCAACCCCGGACUUGCAGUGGGUACGGGCAGACUAGAGGUAGGUAGGGGAGAAUGGAAUUCCCGGUGUAGCGGUGAAAUGCGCAGAUAUCGGGAGGAACACCAGUAGCGAAGGCGACACUCUGGGCCGGUACUGACGCUGAGGAGCGAAAGCGUGGGGAGCAAACAGG
rnacentral:rRNA from 1 species